ACUUAGAGGAGCAGGUCACAAACAUUGCUGCAGGUGCCAGAGAUGUUUCUGAAGACAGCCUUGCGAUGUGCCCUAUAUGCCAAAAGGAGUUGCCAUUGUCUGUAUUACCUUAUCAUGGCAGUUUAUGUGCUGAGAGAUCAUUCAGUACAAGGGUUUUUGAAGAUGACGUGGAGCAGCCAGGGCCAUCAUCUGCAGCUCAUUCAUCCCGUAUUUCAGGACCAGCA